AAACCUUUUCCUGUUAUGAGUCUGCAGUUCUCCUCCCCGACCCAUUGUGUUUAUGUUCUCUUCCCUCCCUGUGUCUCCUGUUAGUCUGUCUGUCUCUGUGUUGUCUGGGCGUGGCUUCUCACUCUGGGCCUGGCUGUCCACCUGGACACCUGAUCCACAUUCCACUAAUCAAGACUCUGUAGUAUAUCAACCCGGUUCUUCACCUCACUCGUCGCCAGAUCGUCAGCUUACCUCAGUGGAUCACUGCCUGCCUGGAGAUUCUGCCACUGCCUCACCCAGCUCCCUGCCUGCCUGGAAAUCCUGCCCCUGCCUCGCUCAGCUCACUGCCCGCCUGGAAAUCCACUCGCUGGUCUCCAUUCCCUGGUCUGCCCUCUGCCCUCUCUCACACCCCGUUUUUCAAUAAACUUUAAAUUUCUGGAUUUAAA